UGCGAGUGUGACUCACUUUAACUUGCUGCCUGCAUAAUUUCUUUUCUUUUUAAUCAAGCGGCAAAUUUUAACCUUAAUAGGCAAAUUUUAAUGAUAGCUAUCAACUUAUUUGACCACAUACUGGUCCUUAAUGGCUAUAUUAUCCUGAAAAUCUUCUUGUUUGCCCCUUGAAGUUGUUAAUGGCUUACGGUUAUUGUCUUUUUUCUUUCGUACUUUUGGCUCAAACUUCUUUUUGAGCAUAGAAGUUAUGAAUGGAAAGAAAUUAAGUCUGUUGAUGAACAUUUAUUAAUUCUUAGUUGCUAAUUUCAUGCUGUUCAAUUAUUGGCAUUGCCAUAAAUUUUUUUAUAGUAUCAAGCACUAAAAAGAUUUUCAUAUAAAGCUGGCAAUGGGAAGGAUCAUAUUUGCUCUGAAUUAUUUUCUUGUACAAAGUUGUAGUUUCCUAUUUUGCAUUCAGAAAGCUCAAACAUGACUUAAAACUUAUAUAUAUAUAUAUAUAUAUAUUCUCUUGUUCAGAUUAAAUUUGUAUACUAAGGAGUGUGAUACUGAUAUAUUACUUAUGAACUGGUUUGGGCUAUUUCAUGGUUCUUUAUGCAGAAUGUUGUGGUUGAUCAAGCACUUGGGCCUGGAAAAAGAGUUACUGUUGCAAUGGGAACUAACCUAAACUUGGAUUAUGGUAAUAAAAUUGUUCUUAUACUAUUUCAUGUUUCAUUGUCAUGUAAUUGUUUUUCUGAAUUGUUUUUCUGAAUUUAGCUGAUUGCAUUGAUUGUUUUAAUUCAUAGGAUCAGUAAUGGACAUCAUUCAGCUUCAUUGUUUAGUUUUUGGUAUUGGUGCUCAUGACAUAGGCAGAUUGAACUAAGAUCUUGAGGCAGUACUGCAACUUGUCAACAAAUAUGCCUUCUGGUUUUUGGUGCUUUAGAGGAAACAUGUGCUCUUGGCAAUUUAGCCUUCCUGGAGAGAAUUGGCAGAGAUUACUUUUUCCCUUAACUUGUGGAAUGGACACAUGAAGUUGGAGGUUAUUUUUAAUGGCAACUUUGGAUAGUAUUCGUUUUCCUGUUAGAUUGGUGAGCUAUUUUGUUUGAAGGGAAGAAUCAGUUUCAUGGAAGGCCAAUUGGAGUUGAGAGCAGGGUGAAAGAGAUAUUGUAUCGGCUUGAAUUUCUUCUAUUGAAUGCUUGCUUUAUAUUUUUAGUUGAAGUGAGAUAUUGAGGCAAGAUACUUCGUUUAAUUGUAAUUGUUGUAAAUUCAAUCGAGUUCUUGAUGAUAAUUCGAUAUGGUUAUGUUUUUU